rnacentral:rRNA from 1 species
GAUAAGGGUGUGGCGGAAGCGGGGGUAGAAGGGGGGGGGUAAGGGUUGUUCGGAAUUGUGGAGGGUAAAGGGGGUGUAGGCUGUUGCCUGAGUCUUCUGGGAAAGGGACGGGCGUAGGCUGUAACGGGCAGAGGAAACUGGGUGACUGGAGUGUCGGAGAGGAUAGGGGAAUACCCGGUGUAGAGGUGAAAGUCGUAGAGAUCGGGUGGAACACCAGUGGCGAAGGCGCCUAUCUGGCUGACAACUGACGCUGAGACUCGAAAGCAUGGGGAGCAAACAGGAUUAGAUACCCCAGUAGUC